CUAGGAUGAACGCUGGCGGCGUGCCUGAGAUAUGCAAGUCGAAUGUCUUGUGUGAAGCACAAGAGUUAUUCCUCAAAAAGUAACUCACGCUGCUUUACAUGAGUAAUGGCGGACGGCUGAGUAAUACGUAGGAACCUUCCCUUUAGUGGAAAAUAGCCUGCCGAAAGGUGGGGUAAUAUUCCAUGUGAUCGCAAGAUCAAAGAACGUAACUGUUUGCUAAAGGAGGGACCUGCGUCCUAUCAGGUAGUUGGUAGAGUAAUAGCCUACCAAGCCUAUGACGGGUAGCUGGCUUAAGAGAGUGGUCAGCCAGAGGGGGACUGAGACACGGCCCCCACUCCUACGGGAGGCAGCAAUCAGGAAUAGUCGGCAAUGGGCGAAAGCCUGACCGCGCGACGCCGCGUGUAGGAUGAAGCUCUAAUCGAGCGUAAACUACUGUGGUAGAGGAAGAAGAUCACGCUUCGCGUGAUUUGACGGUACUCUACUAGAAAGGGGCCGCUAACUGCGUGCCAGAAGCGUCGGUAAGACGUGGGCCUCAAGCGUUAUCCGGUGUCAUUGGGCGUAAAAGGUCGUGUAGGCGGUUUUACAAGUCCUGAUUUUAAUACUCUGGCUCAACCAGAGGAAAGGUCAAGAUACUGUGAGACUAGAAUUUUCUCUAGGGAGACUGGAACUUAGCAAGGAGCAGUGAAAUGUGUUGAUAUGCUAAGGAACACCAUUGGCGAAGGCGAGUCUCUGGGAGCUAAUUGACGCUGAGACACGAAAGCUAGGGGAGCGAAGCAGAUUAGAGACCUGCGUAGUCCUAGCCCUAAACGAAUGUUUGCUAGCUGCAUGAGGUCAUUUAUGACUUCGUGUGGCGAAGGUAACCCGUUAAGCAAACCGCCUGGGGAGUACGACCGCAAGGUUGAAACUCAAAGGAAUUGGCGGGGAGGCACACAACCAGUGGAACAUGUGGUUCAAUUCGAAACGAACCGAAGAACCUCACCAAGGCUUGACAUCCAAGCGUUCUAGGACCCGUGAAAGCGGGACCGAUGCGUAAGCAGGCUUGGACAGGUGUUGCAUGGCUGUCGUCAGCUCGUUCCGUGAGGAGUACCCUUAAGUGGGACAACGAGCGCAACCCCCACCCUAUGUUAUAUAGUGUCAUAGGGAACAGGUCCGAUAUAUCAUCGGACAGGAAGGAGGAGCAGACGUCAAGUCAGCAUGACCCUUAUGCCUUGGGCUACACACAUGUUACAAUGAGAAGGACAAUGGGUUUAGCUAGCCGGUAACGGUAUGCGAAUCCCUAAAACCUUCUCUCAGUGGGGAUUGAGGUCUGCAACUCGACCUCAUGAACGUGGAAUUGGUAGUAAUCGUGGAUCAGUCAUGCCACGGUGAAUACGUUCUUGC
rnacentral:rRNA from 1 species